rnacentral:rRNA from 1 species
UGGGGGAUAUUGCACAAUGGGCGAAAGCCUGAUGCAGCGACGCCGCGUGGGGGAUGAAGGCUUUCGGGUUGUAAACCUCUUUCGCUAUCGAACAAGGCCCGCUUAGGGUGGGUUGAGGGUAGGUGGAGAAGAAGCGCCGGCUAACUACGUGCCAGCAGCCGCGGUAAUACGCAGGGCGCGAGCGUUGUCCGGAAUUAUUGGGCGUAAAGGGCUUGUAGGCGGCUUGUUGCGCCUGCUGUGAAAACGCGGGGCUUAACUUCGCGCGUGCAGUGGGUACGGGCAGGCUUGAGUGUGGUAGGGGUGACUGGAAUUCCAGGUGUAGCGGAGGAAUGCGCAGAUAUCUGGAGGAACACCGAUGGCGAAGGCAGGUCACUGGGCCAUUACUGACGCUGAGGAGCGAAAGCAUGGGUAGCGAACAGG